AGCGAACGCUGGCGGCAGGCCUAACACAUGCAAGUCGAACGAACUCUUCGGAGUUAGUGGCGGACGGGUGAGUAACACGUGGGAACGUGCCUUUAGGUUCGGAAUAACUCAGGGAAACUUGUGCUAAUACCGAAUGUGCCCUUCGGGGAAAGAUUAUCGCCUUUAGAGCGGCCCGCGUCUGAUUAGCUAGUUGGUGAGGUAAAGGCUCACCAAGGCAACGAUCAGUAGCUGGUCUGAGAGGAUGACCAGCCACAUUGGGACUGAGACACGGCCCAAACUCCUACGGGAGGCAGCAGUGGGGAAUCUUGCGCAAUGGGCGAAAGCCUGACGCAGCCAUGCCGCGUGGAUGAUGAAGGUCUUAGGAUUGUAAAAUCCUUUCACCGGUGAAGAUAAUGACUGUAGCCGGAGAAGAAGCCCCGGCUAACUUCGUGCCAGCAGCCGCGG
rnacentral:rRNA from 1 species